rnacentral:lncRNA from 1 species
GAAAAUUAUUUAUAGGUACAUAAGUAUCUAUUUAGUAAUAGUUACAUGGUGUGGUGACUUGACGCUGAGGUUUGGAUGGUGAUCGAGGGCCCCAACUCCAGAGCGCGUGAACUUGCAUGCGAGCCGCGUGGUCACCGCGUUACCGUUGCGUUGCCACGCAUUCUGGGUGGAAUAGCCAUGUAUGGUGGGUUAAACACUCCCUCAGUAGGUGUCAGGAAGAAGAAUACAAUAGAAGAAUCUCACGAGGAUACCGAACUAAGCUCAAACGUGAAUUAGCAGCCAAGUGUUUGAUUAACGGUGCGGGUAAUGCACAUAGAUAAUGGGCCUAAAUUUUGGCUGGGGAUGAUCAUCUACUAAGGAGACUCUCUUGCCAAAAUUUUAGCUCAAAUGGAUGAACCUAGGUGACACUUGCUUUGCAAAGUACCACACUGUGCAGAAAUAUGAAUGUUGAAGCUGGGAUCAAAUGAAUCAAUGGAUUGAGCUGGUAUUUGGUGUAUAAUGUUAAUUAGGGCAUAUGAAGGCACUGUAAAAAAAUUAUACCAUUUGGACAUGCCAAAGUGACACUUCCUUCACAAAGUGCUAUUUUGAACAGAAUAGCAAAAUGAACAUUGCUGAAUUAUUUUCGAACUAUGGAAGGAAGGGUUUUCACAUAUUUGAGGAAUAUAUGAUCCAAAGUAUUUAUGAGAAUUUUUCGAGAAUUUUUGGAAUGACAGAAUAGUAGGUUACUUCACAAACUAGGCAAAAAAUAACACAUUGACAUGACACGUAGGCAAAACUGAUGAUGUGGCACCUAGUCAUAGCUAUGACCAUCUAUAUUGGUCGUAAUUAGCUACAAAUUAGGCAGCGAAACAGGGCUAUCUGCUUUGCGACCUUUUCCAGUAAGGAAGUUACGACCUUUCUAAUGAAAAAUGUCGUUAGUUUUUGGGGUUAGGACCCCUUGGGACAGCUUACGACUAAUUGGUCUCAAAUGGUCAUAGAUUUACUACCAAUUCUGCGAGUGUCACUCACAAAAGGUCGUUAGUUGACAUAUUUCUUGUAGUGAUAUCAUGACAACUUUUAGCAAAAAAAUCAUCAAAACAUAUCAACAUGGAAUCUAGUUUCGAAGAUCUCGUCGAGACAGAUUUAAUGAUGAAAACAAAUUUUUAAUUGGAUUUUUGAAUUAGGAGAUACAACAUUUUUAAGCCGAAAAUAAAAAAAGAUGUCAUUUGUUUAGACGCGACAAAAUGGAUGAUAAUGGAGGCGUGUGGGCGAAGUGCAAAGUGCCAUACGUGUGUGCGUUAUCUUUUUUCAUAAUAUAAAUAAAAUAACAGACCAACCAAUAAAUAUUAUAUGGCAGUGAUAUUUCUUUAAAAAACGAACUUUUUCACUUUCAUUUGAAACACUAGUUGAUUAUAUAGCACUAUUUUGUUUUUGUGAUGGAGCAUCAUCCGGUUCAUGUGGCGGAGUUGGAGGAUCAUCUGGUUUAUGUGAUGGGUUAGCUAUAUGAUCUUGUGCCGAGAUUUUUAUUUUUUAGGAAAUCUUUCCAUAAAUUCUCUUGCUAUUAAUUAUUAUUGUGUUAGCAAAAAUGUACAUGUUACAUUAUUUGUGUUUGCAUAUGCAAGAAUAGAAUCAAUAAACAAAACAUAUUGAUUGAAUGAUACGAUUAGGGAGUUAAACUUACACGUCAUUGUGUCUUGCUGCUGUGCAGAAAUAAUCAUCCAGUGGUUAGAUAUGAAUCACCGAGAAUUGUUUCCAAUUGUAUACCUUUAAAUUUUAAAACCCUAGACUUACAAUUAGGAAAACAGAAAUUGAAAAUAAAAUAAAAUUCUACACAUAGUUGAGAAAUUUAGACUUAAGAGAGAUCGACAAUUACCAAAUACAGAGUUGAGACUUGAAACUCACCUCAAAUUUCCAACAAUCUCUUAGUGGGCGAGGAUAUGGGGCAUCAAAUAGUGUUUCAUCUUUAUUAUUAGUUUACAUGUGUGUUAUUUGUUCUUUGAUUUCUCAUCAAAUUGAGAUUGUUCCUAUAAUUGAUGAUGUGUCAUCAAGAAAUGCGAGACAAACAUAAAUGAAGGGUGGUCUCUAGAAGAAGAAUCGACAAGGCCAUCAAAGAACAUGAUAUGUACAAAUUGAUUCUAGGGUACCAUAAAAAUAAAUAAGGAGUAAUCAAUAUCCACCAAUGUAUUUUGACUAAUUGGACGUGUUUGAAUAUAUCUACAUAUUAAAUACACUAAACUACACUUUGUCACUAAAGGAGUACUUUAUUAUCUCCACCAUAGAUUUUUUAUUCAAAGGUUUGCAAGCUUCUCAAAACAUGGUGUGCCGAAGCAAGCCUCGCAGAAACCAUCCCUUUGCUUCUGCACUUUUCAUACAAGCAACCAAAGUACUAUCUAUAUAAGGCUCACCUCAUCCACCUAACCAAGCGCAUCAUGGAACAUAAAUAAACUUGAUGAGUGAGAUAGCCUACAUCCUUCAAUCUUUACAUGACCUAGUCUGAAAAUUCCAUCACAAAUGUCCCUAGUAUUUUUUCUUUAACAUUUUCUUUUUGUUUCAAAAAAUAACACGAAAACUGGCCCUCGAACAACAACAACAAGGAACAUUAUUUGUGAUUACUAAUGGUUAAACUAAAACUACGAAUAGGAUGAAAUAGAAAUGUAUAUUUGCAUAUAUUUGUGCAAAUUGCGGGUCAAACCUAGGAAAAACCAAGACAACUAGUAUUGUAACCUUUUCUUGUAAUAAAUUCUCAUAGUGCUUGUUGCCAGUGAUUUUUUAAUAUCAUGUACAAACGUCAUGCCUUGCAUGAUAACGAUAUGAACAUCACGACACAUGAAUGACAUAUUUUAAAAAUAUAGGAAGAAC